rnacentral:rRNA from 1 species
AACGAACGCUGGCGGCAGGCUUAACACAUGCAAGUCGAGCGCCCCGCAAGGGGAGCGGCAGACGGGUGAGUAACGCGUGGGAACGUACCCUUUGCUACGGAAUAGCUCCGGGAAACUGGAAUUAAUACCGUAUGUGCCCUACGGGGGAAAGAUUUAUCGGCAAAGGAUCGGCCCGCGUUGGAUUAGCUAGUUGGUGGGGUAAUGGCCUACCAAGGCGACGAUCCAUAGCUGGUCUGAGAGGAUGAUCAGCCACAUUGGGACUGAGACACGGCCCAAACUCCUACGGGAGGCAGCAGUGGGGAAUAUUGGACAAUGGGCGCAAGCCUGAUCCAGCCAUGCCGCGUGAGUGAUGAAGGCCUUAGGGUUGUAAAGCUCUUUUGCCAGGGAAGAUGAUGACUGUACCUGGAGAAUAAGCCCCGGCUAACUUCGUGCCAGCCGCCGCAGUAAAAC